rnacentral:rRNA from 1 species
UACGAAGGGGGCUAGCGUUGCUCGGAAUCACUGGGCGUAAAGGGUGCGUAGGCGGGUCUUUAAGUCAGGGGUGAAAUCCUGGAGCUCAACUCCAGAACUGCCUUUGAUACUGAAGAUCUUGAGUUCGGGAGAGGUGAGUGGAACUGCGAGUGUAGAGGUGAAAUUCGUAGAUAUUCGCAAGAACACCAGUGGCGAAGGCGGCUCACUGGCCCGGUACUGACGCUGAGGUGCGAAAGCGUGGGGAGCAAAG